rnacentral:rRNA from 1 species
UGUAAGCGUAUACCAAAGUUGUUGCAGUUAAAACGCUCGUAGUCGGACUUUGGCAGUUCCGGAUGUGUGCACGUCGUGUGCGCACUUCGCGGGGAUUGCUUUUGUGGUCUUGCGUAGGAUGAGGCACUUUUAUUAGUGAACGUCCUCACGCAACCACUUUUUACUGUGAGAAAAUCAGAGUGCUCAAAGCAGGCAUUUGCCGUGAAUGUAUUAGCAUGGAAUAAUAGAAUAGGACUUGGUUCUAUUUUGUUGGUUUGUUGGGACUGAGUAAUGAUUAAGAGGGACAGUUGGGGGCAGUUGUAUUUCGGUGCUAGAGGUGAAAUUCUUAGAUUACCGAAAGACAAACUGCUGCGAAAGCGUCUGCCAAGGAUGUUUUCAUUGA